rnacentral:rRNA from 1 species
UAUUGGACAAUGGGGGGAACCCUGAUUCAGCGACGCCGCGUGAGUGAAGAAGUAUUUCGGUAUGUAAAGCUCUAUCAGCAGGGAAGAAGAAAUGACGGUACCUGAGUAAGAAGUCCCGGCUAACUACUUGCCAGUACCCGCGGUAAUACGUAGGGGGCAAGCGUUAUCCGGAAUUACUGGGUGUAAAGGGAGCGCAGACGGUGAUGUAAGUCUGGAGUGAAAGGCGGGGGCCCAACCCCCGGACUGCUCUGGAAACUAUGUGACUGGAGUGCAGGAGAGGUGAGCGGAAUUCCUAGUGUAGCGGUGAAAUGCGUAGAUAUUAGGAGGAACACCAGUGGCGAAGGCGGCUCACUGGACUGUAACUGACGUUGAGGCUCGAAAGCGUGGGGAGCAAACAGG